ACAACAGAAAGCAAGAUGGUCCAAGAAUCUGCAAGUCAAAGUUUUGACUUGGACUUCAUAUAGUCCUCGUCAGACUUACAAUACUCUGAGCAUCUAAGGAGCCAGAAGGAUGGUGUGCCAGGUUUUACAACAGGAUAAAAACUAGAAAAAACAGCAUUAGCAGGGAUCCUCUACUUCAGUUCACUGGUGAAUGAACUGUACAAUCAACUGCUGUUUAUUUUAUUGCACUAAGGGCACAACCAAGAUGAGCAUGGCCAUGUAGAAGCUACCUUGUACAUGAACCUUGCAGAAGUCAGUCCUCACUCUCCUGAAUUAGCAAAACCAGGCACAGUGGAGAAAACAGGAGAGACAGAAGCCAAACAGCAGAUAUAUGGUUUAAAAUAUCCCAAGACUCCUAAACUCUGAUCCAUCACUUUGGCCUCUGGACUACAAGGUGCUCAAGGGAUCUCUAGCUGUGAUUUUUCCAUUGCUGUGAGAGCAGAAGGUCAGAUCAGAACUCCUUGAACAACACCUGUACUCCAGGAUGAAGUGGCUUCUGGGGACACUAUAAAUCUUGAUAUGCAGGAACUUUUAACUUUGGCAUUUAUCCGGUAUCCUGUGACAAGACAAGACAACAUUAAAAGCAGAACUGCAAAUUCAGCUGAAAACAGACAGUUUUCCUUCCUGAACACAAGCUGACAUUUUUCAGAUUCGCUGUGAGAGUGAAGAAGUGGGCUGGAGUUACCUGGGAAAACCUCUCUGAACAUUCCUCAGAGUGUGAUGCCAACAGACACCCGGAUGCAGCAGGCUGAACCCAUCCCUGACACCGUGCUCUUGGUUACCAUUCUGACUGAGUGUGGUUUCCAGAUCCUAUUAUGAAUUUUGUCUAAGUGAAAACUAAUAAAAUGUCUCUACUUUGUUACAGCACUGUCAUAAGGACUGAAUGUACACCUGUAGAUAUACAUAUGUAUAUAUACAUGUACAGGUAUAUCCUGGAUAAUGACGCUGCAGAAAAACACUUCACACUCUGGGACAAUCCACUGAAGUUCCCAGACAUCUGAACACUCAGUUUCAGCAUGUUGAAGCUGCUUAGAAGUUCUCACUUUAUAGAUGCCCUAAUUUUUUCAUUGAUAUCAAUCUACAAGCUUGCUUAGAGAUUUGUGAGGGAAGGAGGGGCUUUGCCCCCUCUGAUGUACCAUUACUUCUUAAACAUUUCAGCACAUUUGCAUUUUGUUUCCCCAGGUAAUCUCACAAAUUUGCUUGCUAAGCUCAAACCUGCGGAAAACCAAACACAUUCCAACCAGAAGAUUUAAUGAAACAAGGAGAGCUAAAUGGAGGCACACUGGUUCUGACACACUGGGAAGAACUAUCAAAUCCAUCUCUAAUAUCAAAUACUCUGCCUAGGGAGACAUUACACAGUAAAAACACUUCCAUCUGUUUAGGAAGAAAGAUGUGAGAUUAUGGGAGAUUAAAAGGGACCAAAAAGGGAUUUGCUUUUAAGAGAAAGAAAAAGGAGUUCAUAACAUUGAGAGUAUCACAUAAUAGGCACUUCUGCACAGAAAUAAAAGCAAAAUGCUGAGUUAAAAGCUCAGAGCCUUUGAACAGAAUAUCUAAAAUAUAAUACUCAUUUUUAUUUUUAAAUUGAGAAUUUGAAAGAAGAGAAGCAAUAAAAUACUGUAAAAUGUGGAAGGGAAUCCACUAAAGGAUUUAGACCCAUUUCCUUUACAAAUUGUUGUCCCAGCUUAUGGACUACACACCCCACAACAGGCAAUUUUAAGCAGGUCUUUAUUGUAUCAGUAAACAAAGCCAGGUAAAAUCCACCCAGCUUCUCAGAGAAAUAUGUUACAUUUGGAAAGCCAAAAAAUAUAAGAGAAUAGUGUCUGAUUCAUGGAAAGACAAAUGCACUGGGCUUUCUAGAGUCUAAAGCUGGAGGAAUGAGAGAAGGCAAGGUUUCAAAUUAAGAAAUUAACAAACCUCUGGGUGGGGUUUAAAUAGAAAAGAAUGUUUCAGAUGCAUGAAAGGGGAGGGAAGUGUUUAAAAUCAGGCUGUAUAUAAAACUCAGUGAUAGACUAGGAAAGUAUUAGAAUAUUGCCCAGCAAAGCUGUGAUUCUCCACUUGCAGAGCAAACCAGAUUUCUGUCAAAAUGUGUAAGAAUACCUUGUCUCACCCUAGAGAACAGGAAUGAGUGAUGUGGUUCCUUGAUGCCUUUUCUAGGCCUGUUUCACCAAAGCCCUCACAACACAGGGAUUCUUACCAUCUUUUACUACCCUUCCACAGAAUUUUCAUAAGCCAGGGCCUGACAGAUUCUGCCAACGUAAGGCCUGAAAUGGAACUGACGUUUAUGUUACAUUAAAUUAUCCAAAAUAUUACAUUAAUUACUUAACCCUGUGUCCCCAUGCAAUGGACAGUGAAAUCCUCCUGCCACCACCUGAGGCAUAGAGAGAGCCACAGCGUUCUGAGCAGAGCAAAUCCAUGUGCUGUCAAGACACUGCUCCCACACAGAAAAUACUCACUAUUCCCUUUUGAUUGGGCAACUGUAAAACAAGGAAACCAGCCAGACCAAAACCUCCUCUCUCUUAGAUCCUGAUGAAAUUAUAAACACCUCCUGUUCCUAUUCUUUAUGCUCAUUUUGACUAGGGGCUUCUGUAGAGAGCAAGUUCUGGAGUUCAGUGAAGCCCCAGGUUUUAAGCACUGGAGAUAGCACUGACUCUACCAGCUCUGGGUAAUGCUCCAUCUCCUGUCUCCACCAACAUCACCCUUGGUCAGGACAAAAAAGAUCUCUAGACUAUGAGUAACGCUUUCCUCACAUACGGCAAACAUCUCACUGGGAGCCUGUCAUUAAAAAUCAGCUUUCCCAAAAGGAUGGCAUUGAACUUAGCAAUCCAGUUAAAUUUUUUUCUGAUCCUACUUAGUCUGUUCUUCCUCUCACCCUCUGCAAACUUCUAUUUAGUACCACAGUGUACAGUAGUGGGAUUUGGGUUUGUUAUCAUAAUCUUUGCAAUUUAUUUAAUCCACCUAGAAACACGUGAAAUUUAUGUAUAAUAAAAAUCACAGAUGGGGAGUAAUAUUGUAGCUUCAUUGAGAAAAUAAAAAUUUGAGCUAGUUUAAUUAGAUUCAGAUAUGAUUAUGGCAUGAGUAUUGAAAAUUUUGAUGCAGUCAGAUUCAGGUUCAUUUAAUUCAGGCCAAGUGGAAUGUGUCUACAGCACAGGGGAAAUGUGAGUCACUGUGCUGCAGCACUGGGCAACAAAAGCUGUUAAUCUAGCACCUAAAGAGCUGAGAAUAUCCAACAGACAUAAGACUGACUAAAUGGCUGCUGAUGAUUGGAAUCAUCACUGCUGAAUGGAGGACCUUAAGUGCCCUCCACUCCCCAGUAUUCUAGAUGCAAUUUAGGCUUUCACAGACUCCUCACUGUAAUUCUAUGCAUAUAAACUUGUGUUCAAGACUGAAUCAGAGAAGGUUAAAUACAAGUUCUGCUGCACUGCAGAUUCCAGGGCAAGACUUUGAAAUGCAGACCAUUACUCUUUUGAGAUCCCAAGAUAUUCCAUCCCAAUUCAAUUUAAAUUACACUGCAAGUAAAAUACCCACUAAUUUCAAUGAGAAGCACAUGAUAGAAAGUCUGGGGCACAUCUGGGCACACCCAAAAACACCUGAGCACACCCGGAGCUGAACAAAGUCCAACAAAGACUUUUACAGAAGCCAAAUAAUCUGACUCAAGUAAUAUCCUGCUAGAGCAAAUAUAAUUGCUUAAAUGUAUGAAAAGGUAUAUGUACAUAAUGACUUGCAGGAUUGAGUAUACUUCUACUAAAAUACAAAGAAUGCAGCAGCUUCUACAGUAGGAUUGGAAGUUUAGUGAGCUUGGGAUAGAACCUUAAUUGCCAAAGCAACAAACCUUGGAACUCUCCACAGUCAGUGAUGGAAUUUCUUCAUGAUUCCCAUGAAGGAUGGGACUGGUUUGUCAGCAUGAAGUGUUUAAAGCCUUUAUCAGAGGACAGCAACACGACUUCCUCCAUUCAGAACAAGGCAACAAACACACUUCAAUUAAAACCAAGCAAACAAAAAAUAGAAAAAAAUAAAAGAAAAUUGUAACUAAAGGAAAUUUAAAUGAUAGGCAUACAGAAAAAUAGACACAAAUGAAAGGGAAAAAACAAACCCUC